UACCUGGUUGAGCCUGCCAGUAGUCAUAUGCUUGUCUCAAAGAUUAAGCCAAGCAUGUGUAAGUAUGAACUAAUUCAGACUGUGAAACUUCAAAUGGCUCAUUAAAUCAGUUAUAGUUUGUUUGAUGGUAUCUACUACUCGGAUAACCGUAGUUAUUCUAGAGCUAAUACGUGCAACAAAACCCGACUUCUAAAAGGGAUGCAUUUAUUAGUUAAAAGGUCGGCGAAUCAUCAUUCAGAUUUAUACCCUAUCAACUUUUGAUGGUAGGAUAGUGGCCUACCAUGGUGGUGACUGGUGACGGAGAAUUAGGGUUCAAUUCCGUAGAGGGAGCCUGAGAAACGGCUACCACAUCCAAGGAAGGUAGCAUGCGCAAAAAUUACCGAACCCUGACACGGAGAGGUAGUGACAAUAAAUAACAGUAUCGGGCUCAUUGAGUCUGGUAAUUGGAAUUAGUACAAUCUAAAUCUCUUAACGAGCAUCCAUUGGAGGGCAAGUCUAGUGCCAGCAGUAGCAUUAAUUCUAGCUCCAAUAGCGUAUAUUUAAGUUGUAGCACUUAAAAAGCUCGUAAUUGGACCUUGGGUUGGGUCGAUCGGUCCGCCAUUCGUGUGCACCGGUCGACUUGUCCCUUCUAUCGGCGAUGCGCUUCUGGCCUUAACUAGCCUGGUCGUGCCCCUGACGCUAUUACUUUAAAGAAAUUAGAGUGCUCAAAGCAAGCCUAGGCUCUGGAUACAUUUGCAUGGAAUAACACCAUAAGAUUCUGAUCCUAUUAUGUUGGCCUUCGGGAUCGGAGUAAUGACUAACAGGGACAGUCGGGGGCCUUUUUAUUUUAUAGUCAGAGGUGAAAUUCUUGGAUUUAUGAAAGACGAACAACUGCAAACGCAUUUGUCAAGAAUGUUUUCAUUAAUCAAGAACGAAAGUUGGGGGCUUAAAGACGAGCAGAUAAUGUCCUAGUCUCAACCAUAAACGAUGCCGACCAGGGAUCAACGAAUGUUACUUUUAGGUUUCCACUAGCACCUUAUGAGAAAUCAAAGUCCUUGGGUUCUGGGGAGAGUAUGGUCACAAGGCUGAAACUUAAAGGAAUUGACGAAAGGGCACCACCAGGAGUGGAGCCUGCGACUUAAUUUGACUCAACACGGGGAAACUUACCAGGUCCAGACAUAGUAAGGAUUGACAGAUUGAGAGCUCUUUCUUGAUUCUAUGAGUGGUGGUGCAUAGCCGUUCUUAGUUGGUGGAGCAAUUUGUCUACUUAAUUCCGUCAACGAACGAGACCUCAGCCUGCUAACUAGUUAUGUGGAGGUAACACUCCACGACCAGCUUCUUAGAAUGACUACGGCUUUUUAGGCCACGGAAGUUUGAUGCAACAAUAGGUUUGAGAUGCCCUUAGAUGUUCUAGGCUACACGGGAGCUACACUGAUGUAUUCAACGACUCUAUAGCCUUGGCCAACAGGCCUGGGUAAUCUUUGAAAUUUCAUCGUGAUGGGGAUAGAUUAUUGCAAUUGUUGGUCUUCAACAAGGAAUUCCUAGUAAGCGCGAGUCAUCAUCUCGCGUUGACUACAUCCCCGCCCUUUGUACAUACCGCCCGUCGCUCCUACUGAUUGAAUGGUCCGGUGAAGUGUUCGGAUUGCGGCGACAUGGGCGGUUCGCUAUCAACGACGUUGUAAUAAGUCCACUAAACCUUAUAAUUUAGAGGAAGGAGAAGUUGUAAUAAGGUUUUUGUAGGUGAACCUGCGGUAGGAUCAUUA
rfam:Lupinus angustifolius cultivar Tanjil chromosome LG02, whole genome shotgun sequence.